UAGCUUAGUUGGUAGUGCGUCUGCCUUGUAAGCACUAGGCUGUGGGUUCGAUUCCUGC
rnacentral:tRNA from 1 species